GCUUAUUCUCAGGGCAGGGUGUAAUUCCUGACCGGCGGUAACCCGAUUUCGGGAAGCCCGCGAGCGCCUGACAGGUAACUGUCAGGGUCAAGCAGAUCUGGUGUGAUUCCAGAGCCGACGGUAAUAGUCCGGAUGGGAGAGGAUAAGG
rnacentral:ncRNA from 2 species